AUUGAACGCUGGCGGCAGGCCUAACACAUGCAAGUCGAGCGGAUGAAGGGAGCUUGCUCCUGGAUUCAGCGGCGGACGGGUGAGUAAUGCCUAGGAAUCUGCCUGGUAGUGGGGGAUAACGUCCGGAAACGGGCGCUAAUACCGCAUACGUCCUGAGGGAGAAAGUGGGGGAUCUUCGGACCUCACGCUAUCAGAUGAGCCUAGGUCGGAUUAGCUAGUUGGUGGGGUAAAGGCCUACCAAGGCGACGAUCCGUAACUGGUCUGAGUGAAUGAUCAGUCACACUGGAACUGAGACACGGUCCAGACUCCUACGGGAGGCAGCAGUGGGGAAUAUUGGACAAUGGGCGAAAGCCUGAUCCAGCCAUGCCGCGUGUGUGAAGAAGGUCUUCGGAUUGUAAAGCACUUUAAGUUGGGAGGAAGGGCAGUAAGUUAAUACCUUGCUGUUUUGACGUUACCAACAGAAUAAGCACCGGCUAACUUCGUG
rnacentral:rRNA from 1 species